GGAGGAGGAACAGAGAAGGAGACACAGAAUCCGAAGGAGGCUCCAGGCUCUGAACUGUCAGCACAGAGUUGAUGACCUGAGCCGAAGUUGGACACUUAACCGACUGAGCACUCAUGAUUGUUUUCACAUUAACAGGAGGCCUUGUAAUGAAUAAUCAAGUAAUUGAUAAUCCAAUGGAUAUAUGGUAUAAUUUGUAAAUAAAGAUCCACAAACACACAGAGACACUUUUCUCCUUCCUAAUCUAUAAUAGAAUUCAAAUUUAAUAUAGACCAAACAAAAAUAGCAUUAGAUUCUUACACUUCAGCUUAUAAGAAAUUAAUUAGUUUGUAAGAAAAGAUGGUUAUAUCUAGUAGUUUGGUUCAUAGGAAGAAGUUCCUAAAGAUGAUUGUGGAAUACUGGACCAAUCACACAUACAUACAAAAUGCUGAAAUAUGCUAUAUUUAAAAAUGAAUCCUUACAGACUGCUACUGGGUCAAUGUCAAUACAUCAAAGCAUUGUGAGGCCACAAAAAUUAAUCACCAGAAAUAGGUUUCAUAACAAAGAGCAGUCCAACAGGGCAAAAAUAAAUAAAAUAUAAUAAUUCGACAUUGAAUUUAAGAGGUUUUAUAGUUAGAAACACACAAUUUAUAGGAGCUCCAGGAAGGAAAAUACUGCUUCCUUUGUGAAGGAGCCUACCAAUUUUGAUAAGUCUAUGAGAAUUUUUUGGUGGUAGGGGCAGAGCAGAGAGCAAAGGCUGCCCCAGAUCUUUGAGUGUUUGGGCGAAGACCUCACAAGCUCUGGUGGGGAGGAAAUUUUUCAGGGGAAGUGCAUUCCAGAGAGAGAUCUAGCUGCCUAUGCUGGCUUUUUGGCUCAGGGAUGCUGCCUUUCUCCAGGCUGGCCAUGCUCUUCUGCUCCUGGUCUUUGGGAAAGUAGCUCUUUGUGGAAUGCAAGUCACUACUUUGAGAUAAUGAUAAUUUCUGUAACGUGAGUUUGGAUAGGGAGGGAUACUCCCAUUGCAUUUUUUCAGAUUUUUUCAAAACCACUUUUAUGGGUUGUAAUUUGGACACAGUUCAAAAAUUUGUAAAGAUAUAAGAACAUUUGCAUCACUCCUUAAAGUUAAGUAUACCAUUCACAAUUCAUUUCCUACCACUCCUAGAACAAGUUAACUACUGAUCUGCUCAUUCUGUCAUUGCAAAUUUGCCUUGUCUGGAAUCUCAUGUAAUUAGAAUCAUACUGCAUAUGCUUUUUGGGUCAGUUGGCCAAUUUCUGCAAAAAAACCGUGCUGUGAUUUUGAAAGAGAUUGCAUGGCUAGGACUUCUGUUAUUAAGAUGAAUAGUAAUAGUAAGAACAGAUAUCCUCACCUUGUUCCUGAUGUUAUAGAUGGAAGUGACUGUAAAAAUAACCCAAAAUGACUGGGUCUUUAAAAACUGAUGAAAUUGAAGUCCAUUUAAUGGGGGCAAUAACUUCUUCUCAGUCACACAAUGUCAGAGUUAAGACUAGAAGUGAAGUCUCCAGGGCUCCCAGCUGAAGACUUUUUUCUCUACCGUUCACCACCACAUGGGAGGACACUGUCAUUCUAAAACCAUUUAAAUCAGAUGGAAUUAGCCUCUUCCCCUCUGACUUAGUAGACCUAAAUAAAUAAAUUACUUGCAAACAGUUAAAAAUCUGCAGAAUAUUUUCCUGAGUUCCUUAGUAAAAUGGAUUUCCUCAAGAAUGUUCCCAAGUUCCCUAGCUAGACUUAAAAGUAAUAUGAUUCAGCCAUCAGACAGUGGACAACUCCCCAGUCCCAGCAGUUCAGACAGUUAGGAAAUUGAUCUUUCAUUUGAAAACUGAUGAAAGUAUUGCAAUUUUCAUUAAUUUUAUACAGAGUACCUUUAUAUAUUAUGCUUCCAACAGGAUUCAAGAAGAAAGGAAUUAAGAUAAAUUACCUAUUACCGCUUCCUUUCUUCAUAUACUUGCAUUAUUGUCAACUCGAAAUGGCUAAUGACAGUGAUAACUUGAGAUAAAAAUUAGUUUGGAAUGUGUAAGAAAGCAAAUUCUUAAUAUUUUAGAUUAAAAUUUGACAAACUAAUUAGAAAUAUGCAGGUAUAUAGGUGACAGAACAGUAACGUCAGCCAGGAAUCCUAAAGUAACUUUCAGUGUAGUCAUGGAUGUCUUCUGAAUUGUACUGCUGAAAAUUCCCAACUGAAUCAUGGAUGCUUAAUUUAGUUACCCCAUGAAGCUGUGCUUUUGUACACUUUCUACAUUUCAGUACCCUCUAAUAUAUACCUUGCAAUCUUACACUUAUUUUCAUUAAGACUCCUGAAAGGUGUAUUGGUAACAUCAAGUUAUUUCUAAUAUUCUUGCAUCAAAAUAGGUAGAAUAUGGUUAAAAUUAGAUUUAUAAUAUUAUUCACAUGAGGACCAACAAGUAAAAACAUUAACUCUGAAGUUUGACAGUCAUUUAAAGCUCAGUAAAGUCACUGGUUCUGUAGAGUAUUCUAUUUAAAGCGCAAUGAAACACAACAGUGAAAUAUAGGAAAUCAAAACAUUUGAAUUUGUGCUAUAGCAAUUCAUAAUAAGAAAUGAAACUGGGGUCUUGAUGUUUCUUUUACUUUUCUUAUUUGAGUUACUUUUCUUACAUGGUUACUAAUAUCAUGUAAAAAGUGUGAGAACUUUUCUUCUCAACUUGAAGUUCCUGCUCACCACCUCAUCCAUUUCACAAUUUUAGCUGGCAUAUAUUUAAGUGAGCAUGUUCAAUGUAUUGUGCUGCUGCUGACGUUUUUAAGUUUGAGUUGAUUGGGAAAAGUCAUAAUUCAGAUUCCUCUGAAAAUCACCUAUCAAGAUGCAAAAAUCUAAAGCUUUCCCUUAGGGAACUCAUCUAAAUUCCAUCUUUUGCCUGUGAUUUUUUUCUCAGCUCCUGGCAUUGAAAUAUAUAGUAGUUAUUGAUCAUUCUGACAUAUUUUUAGGGUGCUUUUGCAACUAGAAAUCUGUGAACUUAAUUUUCCAGGUUGGGAUAUACUGAAAGGAAUCUUUAUUCAGCUUUGCUAGCUAGAUACAGAAAUUAAACUAGAAGGCAGAACCAGCCUUCUAGUAGGUAGAGGGUGGAAUAGGGGACCACACACUUGCCCUGGUUUGAGGAGCUUGAGGUUCCACUUACCCCCCAAAAUGUUGCAGUUUGCUAAUACCUAAAAGUUAAUUCCUAGAGUUCCAAGCAUUUGAGCUUUAGAGAUAAGACUUUAUGGUACAGGAAUCUUGGGAGAAAUAACUGAAUAUCUAAUGGUUAUCUAUCCUUUAUAGAAAUGCAAAAGUUUCUUUCCAGAGAUCACAUGUUCAAAGUAAAAAUUGAUGAGAAAAUAAAAAUGACUCAGAGAUUAGAAGGUAGAAAAGGGAAAAUGAUAUCAUCAAGGAUGUCGAGAAGGAAUGAUUUUAGAAUAUUGAAGUGUUACCAAUUUUGCCUACUUCACAGAUUUGCUUCAUGCUAAUCUCAGAAGAAGGCCUUUUCCCAUAAGUGGGAUAUUUUCCCUGAAGGGCUACAUUUCUAAUCUUUUUUGGAAUGGUAAAGAUGUCUAUUUUUAGAGGAGUCAUUUCAAGAUAUUAUCCACUGGUUUCAUUAGCCAGUUUGAAGGGAGGCUCUCUUGUUGGUGCUUAAACUUUCAUGCUGAAUGUUUUCUUAAGAGAAGCACAAAUACUCUUAAUGGUAGAGUCAAGACCAGGAUCCAUUUAGCCAACAUGAAGGAAACAACAAAAAAAUUGGACUUAUACUCUAUUUUAUAAUAACAUUUUGCAUCCCAAGAAAAGUUCUGCAAAACACUGUUGUCUUUGUGUGUCUCCUUGUUUAGGAUGCUAAUUCUGAUCAUGGUGUUUGUUACUGAAUGGGGUUUGUGUGGCUCUCUGUUCCUUGACUAGUAAACCGAGCUGAACUUUAACGAACCAUUUCAUAACACCAUGCUGUCAAUCACAAAGGUGGAAUGAUGAAAGAGAAUGGAUUUAACAAUAUAAACUAAUAACUAAAAUAAUAUCCUGCAAAGUGAAUGUUACUCUUAGAUCUAGUACUAACUGGAUGACCUUGAAAAAUGUCUCUUAAUCUUUCUAGGUCUUAAUUAUCCUCUUGAAUAAAAAACAACAGGGUUGCCCUCAAUGAUCUCUAUAAUUAAGGUGAUAUAUAUAUUACCCAAGAGAAAACUCUUGAAAACAAAAGGGCACAGUGUUAAUAAUUAUACCUAAAACAUAGGCAUACACCAGAAAUGUCUCAGGAAAAAAAAAAUGCAUGAACACCCUACCUAAAAUGGGCAGAUAACUCUUGGAAGUUAUUUGCAAUCCCAUGUGCUGGGAACUUCCUGCUUCCCCCUCAUAAUAAUGAUGAGCCCUCAGCAGCCAUUUUUGUAAAAUAUUGCUCUUCUGCCCCAGUCUUAAUUGGAUGCUUAAGGGGUAAACAUUUAAAAAAGCUGGGUCUGUCAGAGUUCUUCACCCAGGAAUUUAGAAUUGAAACUAAAUCUUUAUAGUUUAGUCUGCCUGUUAACUUGGAAGGGGAAGAUUUAACAUAUACAUUGUAAGUAAAUAUUCAAAAACCAAAAAAUAAUUUUAGAGAGCAAGAAUAGAAUAAGGCAGAUAGACCAUUAAUCUCUGUCACGUUUACUCAGCAGAGUGACCAUCAUAAAAUAGGCACUCAGUGAAAAUCUUUUAAAUGAACCUUCUGUUUUCUUAGCUGAUAAUUACAUAGUGUUCGUCAGAUUUCAAACCUUAUUUUCUCUCUUUGAUGAUUACAUGUUUUCCAAAAUGUAUAUCAUAUUUCUAAUAAGGAUUCAAUAUAGCUGAUAUUAUUAACUUGUGUAUCAAUUAAAAACAAAAUAAAAUAAGCUAAGAGUGUUAAUGAUAGGAGAGAAAUAAAUAGAUCAGGAAAUUUGUGCCUUUUGAGCAUUAAAUAUUUUUUGUGAUGAGGACAGGGAGAGAGGCUUUUUAUUCAGUAAAAACAAUUCUGGAAGGAAGAUUUAUUGGAGUGUUAUGAGAUAGCAUCAUAGUAUUGAAGGAAAAGCACCAGGCUUUGGAAAAGAAGAGAAGAGGGAAAGCUUUGUGACCUCAGUAAAGAAGUUUGUGUUUCUUCUCUUUAGUACAUGGCCUCUAACAUGCCUGAGCCAGUCCUGUGUCUGUGGCCCUUUACUUAGGUUUUAAUUCCCUAGUAGAUAUAACAUUGACCCACCAGUUCAUGGUGGGGAGAAUCAUAUAGCACAGGUAUUGAAGGAUUUGAAUCAUAUAGUAUAGUAUUGAAUCAUAUAUCAUAGACAUUGAAGGAUUUGUUGUGAGCCAAGGAGCCAUCCACAUAUAAAUACCAAAUAAAUGUUAUAUCCCAACUUCAAAGAUGUUAAGAUAUGGGGAAAUUUUAGGAUCUUAGAGAUAAGUAUCUUAGUUUGAGAUUCCCUAGACUCUCAGAAAAUUGUUUGAAUACAAUAAAUGUGUUUGGAAGAUAAUCCCUGGAAAUGCCAGUAGAGAAAUGAGGAAAUGUGACAGCAAAGGAAAGGAGGCCAAUAAAAAAUACUUCAUCAAGCAAGCUACCUCUGUGAGCAAACAGAGCCUACUACCACUGAAAGGCUCUGGGAAAUGAUAUAGAACAUUCACCAAGUGAUGUGAGUUCUCAGUUGAGCUACACUUUUAGGGAGCUUCAUU